GGUACUUGUACCUGGUGGCGAGCGGCGGACGGGUGAGUAAUGCCUAGGAAUCUGCCUAGUAGUGGGGGAUAACGUCCGGAAACGGGCGCUAAUACCGCAUACGUCCUACGGGAGAAAGUGGGGGAUCUUCGGACCUCACGCUAUUAGAUGAGCCUAGGUCGGAUUAGCUAGUUGGUGAGGUAAUGGCUCACCAAGGCGACGAUCCGUAACUGGUCUGAGAGGAUGAUCAGUCACACUGGAACUGAGACACGGUCCAGACUCCUACGGGAGGCAGCAGUGGGGAAUAUUGGACAAUGGGCGAAAGCCUGAUCCAGCCAUGCCGCGUGUGUGAAGAAGGUCUUCGGAUUGUAAAGCACUUUAAGUUGGGAGGAAGGGCAGUUACCUAAUACGUGAUUGUUUUGACGUUACCGACAGAAUAAGCACCGGCUAACUCUGUGCCAGCAGCCGCGGUAAUACAGAGGGUGCAAGCGUUAAUCGGAAUUACUGGGCGUAAAGCGCGCGUAGGUGGUUUGUUAAGUUGGAUGUGAAAGCCCCGGGCUCAACCUGGGAACUGCAUCCAAAACUGGCAAGCUAGAGUAUGGUAGAGGGUGGUGGAAUUUCCUGUGUAGCGGUGAAAUGCG
rnacentral:rRNA from 1 species